rnacentral:rRNA from 1 species
GAUGAACGCUGGCGGCGUGCCUAAUACAUGCAAGUCGAACGCGCAGCGAAAGGUGCUUGCACCUUUCAAGCGAGUGGCGAACGGGUGAGUAACACGUGGAUAACCUGCCUCAAGGCUGGGGAUAACAUUUGGAAACAGAUGCUAAUACCGAAUAAAACUUAGUAUCGCAUGAUACAAAGUUAAAAGGCGCUACGGCGUCACCUAGAGAUGGAUCCGCGGUGCAUUAGUUAGUUGGUGGGGUAAAGGCUUACCAAGACGAUGAUGCAUAGCCGAGUUGAGAGACUGAUCGGCCACAUUGGGACUGAGACACGGCCCAAACUCCUACGGGAGGCUGCAGUAGGGAAUCUUCCACAAUGGGCGCAAGCCUGAUGGAGCAACGCCGCGUGUGUGAUGAAGGCUUUCGGGUCGUAAAGCACUGUUGUAUGGGAAGAAAUGCUAAAAUAGGGAAUGAUUUUAGUUUGACGGUACCAUACCAGAAAGGGACGGCUAAAUACGUGCCAGCCGCCGCAGUAA